CAGGUAUGUGUGUUGUUCUGCGGGAGCGGUCUGUGGCUGUUUAGACCUUUGCAGCAUGGCUCCAAUGUCCCUGGUGUCUGCUGCUGUGAUGGGUUUUUGGGAGUGUCGUCCCAUAGCUGGUAUGUAGGGUGGAGGGAGGGAUGUCGUGGGUGAUAGUUCCAUGCCCGUUCCCCUCUCUGUGGCUCCUGCCAACGGUGCUUCCAGGCUUGGUGUAUUCAGUGUGGGGUAGGCCCAGAUUUUCCACCUCCACUUAGGCUGGUUAGGUGCCAG